AUUGAACGCUGGCGGCAGGCCUAACACAUGCAAGUCGAACGGUAACAGGAAACAGCUUGCUGUUUCGCUGACGAGUGGCGGACGGGUGAGUAAUGUCUGGGAAACUGCCUGAUGGAGGGGGAUAACUACUGGAAACGGUAGCUAAUACCGCAUAACGUCGCAAGACCAAAGAGGGGGACCUUCGGGCCUCUUGCCAUCGGAUGUGCCCAGAUGGGAUUAGCUAGUAGGUGGGGUAGCGGCUCACCUAGGCGACGAUCCCUAGCUGGUCUGAGAGGAUGACCAGCCACACUGGAACUGAGACACGGUCCAG
rnacentral:rRNA from 1 species